rnacentral:rRNA from 1 species
CCCUUAGAUGUUCUGGGCCGCACGCGCGCUACACUGAUGAAUUCAACGAGCUCCUAACCUAGGCCGAAGGGUCCGGGUAAUCUUUGAAAUUUCAUCGUGAUGGGGAUAGAUUAUUGCAAUUAUUAAUCUUCAACGAGGAAUUCCUAGUAAACGCGCGUCAUCAACGCGCAUUGAAUUAGUCUAUGCCCUUUGUACACACCGCCCGUCGCUACUACCGAUUGAAUGGUUUAGUGAGGCUCGUGGAUUGCUGUCUGUGAGUGGCAACGCUCAUAUUUAUUUUGAUGGUAAGAAACGAUCCAAACUUGAUCAUUUAGAGGAAGUAAAANUCGUANCA